rnacentral:rRNA from 1 species
CAGCCGCCCGGUAAUACGAAGGUCCCGAGCGUUGUUCGGAAUCACUGGGCGUAAAGGGAGCGUAGGCGGCGUGGUAAGUCAGAUGUGAAAUCCCGGGGCUCAACCCCGGAACUGCAUCCGAUACUGCCAUGCUAGAGGAUUGGAGAGGUAGCUGGAAUUCUUGGUGUAGCAGUGAAAUGCGUGGAGAUCAAGAGGAACACUCGUGGCGAAAGCGAGCUACUGGACAAUAACUGACGCUGAGGCUCGAAGGCCAGGGUAGCGAAAGGGAUUAGAUACCCGUGUAGUCCCUGUCUCUUAUACA